rnacentral:tRNA from 1 species
UCCCUGGUAGCUCAGACGGUAAAGAAUCUGCCUGCAAAGCAGGAGACUCAGGUUCGAUCCCUGGGUUGGAAA